rnacentral:ncRNA from 1 species
AUUGCUGUGAUGUGGGUUGUAAUUGAUAAAGGCAAAGCCGCGCGCUUGGUCGAUGCAAUGGAACAGCGGGUUCCAGUCAAACAUUUUGAGCAUGAAAGGCGGCAGGGUGUUGGCAAGGAACAUCUUGCCCGAAGCAAUCAUAUUGGCGCGUUG